UGGUAAUGUACAGUUAACAUAUACUUCAGCAUUUUUCCAUUUACAGUAAUUUGUGAUGAUGUUUUACAGUGUAGAUCGCAGCGGUGUCCUCCCAUCAGGACUCUGAACACACACCGUGUAACAGCGUGGCUUUAAAUGGCCCUGCCAUCACUGAGCUCGUGUCAUUAGAUCACAUGAUAUCAGUGCUGAGGAGAUGUGUAAAUACUUCAACGUUGUCUAUAAUAACCCUGGUCAGACCUGAUUGUGAGUUUGCAGUGGAUUGUGGCAAACACUUUUGAGGAGGCUUUUUGUCGGGAGAUCAAAAGCUGGAGAUCAAGUUCAACAUCCAGAGCAUCUCCACGUAUCCCAAAGACCUUCGAGACUGAACACCUGCUUUGAAUGUGCUGCCCAGCUUCCCAUGUGGGUUUCUUGUCAUCUAACACCUCUGUGUUACACCUGAAAUUAGAGCACAGAGAGACACACCCACAACACACACACAUCACCCCCCAAUGAACUCCACUGGGACACACACACACACACACACACACGUGUCCUCCAGGCAUAUGCUCCAUUCAGCCGUAUAGAGGUGAUCUUUCAUUUCGACAGAUCAUCAGCUAUUCUUUCAUGCGAGAUGUGGAGAUACUGGUUUGCCGAGCACGACCACUGGCUUUUAAAGUCUUCGUACCGUCGACAGUGAGGAACAGGCCUCUGCUUCGACGCCGAGCCUAAUCUUAGAUUAGACAACGGCUUUUUUUUCCAAAGUUGCGCUUGUGGAUUUAAGGUUUGCUUAUUCUGAAAGCGUCCUGAAGAUUGUAUCUGGCUGAAGGGGGUGCCGCUGUUUCUGGCCCAUCAUCCAUUUGUGAGCAGCGAGGACGCAUGCCAACCCGUCAUGCUGGCUGUGGGUGUUAAUGAACAACCCCGGGUGUCUGUCAUCAAAUACAUGCCAAAGCACCCGAAAAAACGGUCUGAUCUGACCUUAACUGAAAAAAAUGGCCUCAACAUCCAAAUUAUUCGUAACUGACAAAACAAUAUCUGUCAAACUAUAGCAAUAACUGCAAUGCAGGAGAAACAGAUUUACUAAACAGGGCAAGUUAGCAUGAGAACGCAAGUCCAAAAAAGCUCAGAUGGAAGUGUAAUUUAUUGACGACGUGCAAAUUAAAGAACAGACGCAGCUGGAUCAUUUCCAUAAUGACCAACACAGUCUACAAAUUAGCAUCUGGUUUAAUACAUGCUUUUUUGGCCGUUAAAUAACAGUGGAAAUAUUGACCAGCGCAAACCUUAAAGGGGACAUUUCAUGCAAAAUCCACUUUUUUAGCCCUUAAAUGCAUUUUGUUGUCUAUAUUAUAAGUA